rnacentral:rRNA from 1 species
UACGAAGGGGGCUAGCGUUGUUCGGAAUUACUGGGCUUAAAGGGUUUGUAGGCGGCCAUGUAAGUCGGGUGUGAAAUCCCUCGGCUCAACCGAGGAAUGGCGCCCGAUACUGCAUGGCUUGAGGGAGACAGGGGUAAGCGGAACUGAUGGUGGAGCGGUGAAAUGCGUUGAUAUCAUCAGGAACACCGGUGGCGAAAGCGGCUUACUGGGUCUCAUCUGACGCUGAGGAACGAAAGCGUGGGGAGCAAACAGG